rnacentral:misc_RNA from 1 species
UCCCCGUUCUCCUGGGCAGUCUCUUUAGAGUACCCGGCAUGACCCGCUGGCAACAUUGGACAGGGGUUGCGCUCGUUGCGCCACUUAAGGCAACACCUCACGGCACGAGCUGACGACAGCCAUGCAGCACCUGUGCAGGCUCCCGAAGGAGCACCGGCUUUCACCGGUUUCACCCUGCAUGUCAAGCCCUGGUAAGGUUCUUCGCGUUGCGUCGAAUUAAGCCACAUGCUCCGCCGCUUGUGCGGGUCCCCGUCAAUUCCUUUGAGUUUAAGCCUUGCGGCCGUACUCCCCAGGCGGAACACUUAACGCGUUGGCUGCGGCACAGGAGGAUUCGACUCCCCCCACACCUAGUGUUCAUCGUUUACGGCUAGGACUAC